rnacentral:lncRNA from 1 species
ACCACGCCCGGCCCUGCAACUUUUUUUUUUUUUUUUAAUUAUUUUAUAUGAGUACACUGUAGCUGUCUUCAGACACACCUGAAGAGGGUAUCAGAUCUCAUUCAUUACAGAUGGUUGUGAGCCACCAUGUGGUUGCUGGGAAUUGAACUCAGGACCUCUGGAAGAAGGUCAAAAGCAAUCAAAAGCAAAAAUCAAUCUCCAACCAUCCAAGUGUCUGGGAUCCAACUCAUGAUCUUCUGGGCUCCUCCAAGAGCUUGGGUCAUUUCUCCAGCCAUGCCCUUUGUAGCACCCGUGUCGUCCUCUAGGCUCCAGAUGCCUGUACUCCACUGCUGCUGCUCUUGGUGGUCAUCUCAUGGUACUGGCAUCUCCAAAACACUGCAUGACCCCUUCAGUCCUGGGCGGUCAAUUGCAACUGAGGCUGCACUUUCACCAAUGGCCUUCCAUGGCCUCUCACAGUGCCAAGCCUCAGCUGCUCUGCUCAACUCCUUCAUGCCUUCAAAACCAGUACCACCUGGGUGACCCUUACACAUUACCAAGUCCAGCCACAGCACAAGGUACAACUUUGGCUAUAUCUGGAACAAAGCCACUGUGCUCUCAGAAAACACUUCCCAGAAGAUGUCACCUCAAUGAUGCUGGUCUCUUCUUAAUCACCGCUAAUUUCUUAGCUCCAGCUAACCAGCAUCAAUAGUCCCAGUAAUGCAAAGUUUUUGCUUUUGUAGUUCUGGUAUCUUGUUAAUCACAGCUGAUUCUUCAGCCCCAGCUAACCAGAACUACAGAAUCUUCACAAUCAAAACAGCAAUGGCCUUGAAAAGAGUCUUUAAUUUUCCCUUUGAAAUUUCACAAACCAGACCUCCAUCUUCUGCAGUGUUCUCAACAUUAUCUUCCAAGCUCCUACACAAUAUCCGACAGAGCUCUUAACAAAGGAUGGAUCUUCAAGCCCAAAGUUCCAAAGUCCUCCCUCAGUCCUCCCCAAAACAUGGCCAGGUUGUCACAGGAAUACCCCACUAUGCUGAUACCAAUUUGUCUUAGUCAGGGUUUCUAUUCCUGCACAAACAUCAUGACCAAGAAGCAAGUUGGGGAGGAAAGGGUUUAUUUGGCUUACACUUCCAUACUGCUGUUCAUCACCAAAGGAAGUCGGGACUGGAACUCAAGCAGGUCAGGGAGCAGGAGCUGAUGCAGAGGCCAUGGAGGGAUGUUCUUUACUGGCUUGCCUCCCCUGGCUUGCUCAUCCUGCUCUCUUAUAGAACCCAAGACUGCCAGCCCAGAGAUGGUCCCACCCACAAGGGGCCUUUCCCCCUUGAUCACUAAUUGAGAAAAUGCCUUACAGUUGGAUCUCAUGGAGGCGUUUCCUCAACUGAAGCUCCUUUCUCUGUGAUAACUCCAGCUGUGUCAAGUUGACACAAGUUGCCAGUACAGCAAGAAAGCAUAAUGAUAAAAUAUAGGACCAAAGCAAAACUGACACCAAGCAGGAUAGACUCCAAGUUCUGUAUCUGUGUCUGAUGUCAAAAGUGUUCUUCAGAUGUCCAGUUCCUUUCAGUUUUGUUGACUGCAACACACCUCUCUCCUGGACUAGUUCCACAAUCUGAUAACAACUCUCCUUGGCAGGUAUCCCAUGACUCUGACCUCCAGCAUCUUGGGUUCUUCAACACUGUCCAGGCUUCACUCACACCUUCAUGCAGUCUAUACUUGAAGUCUUUGAAGUCUCCUCUGCAAUGACAUUAUUCCAAAACUCUUUAAUUAGCCUCAGGCAGAUGCUUAGGACAGGGGCAAAAAGUUGCUACAUUCUUUGCCAAGUUAUCACAAGAAUGUUCUCUGGGUCAGCUGAUAAAACUCUUGUGCUGUGCUGACAUCAUUCAAAUUAGCAUACUUGGGUGUGUGGUAUAGUUAACCAUUACUAUCUUUCAGGCUCCUACUAGAAUGUUAAGCCCCACCUUUCAACUGCUUUCCUAAUCCAUAUCCUAAAAGUCUGCUUCUACCAACAAGCGGCCGGUCAAGCUUGUCACAGCAAUACCACUCCUGGUAACAACUUCUUAGUUAUUCUCCCCUUGCUGUGUGAGACCCCAGUGACCAAGACAACUUUUUUUUUCUCCCUCUAGACAGGGUUUCUCUUUGUAGCCUGGCUGUCCUGGGACUCUCUGUAAACCGUGCCGGCCUGGAACUCACUAUUCACCUGCCUGUGGUUCCCAAGUGCUGGGAUUAAAGGCAUGCACUAUCAUGCCUGACUGCAAGGCAACUUUUAUAAAAGAAAGCAUUUAAUUGUGGGCUUGUUUACAGUUUGAGAGGUUUACUCCAAGGUCAUUAUGGUAGGAAGCAGAUAGCAUGGUGCUAGAGCAGCAGCUGCGUGGUGGUGGGGUGGGCACAGUGGACUGAGAACUGAGCUUGGGCUUUUGGAACUUGAAAGCACAGCCCUAGCGACUUGCCUUCUCCAACAAGGACACACCUCCAAUCCUUUCCUAAUAGUUCAUCAGCUGGGGACUAAGCAUGCAAGGAUUUGAGCCCUAUAGGGCACAUUCUCAUUCAAACCACCAUGGAUUAGAAAAGGAUUCAAACUUUUAUAGCAAAUGAUUGGCCUUAAAAUUAAAAAAAAAAACUGUAAACUUAUUUAAUAAUAUACAAAGUCAGUAUACAAAAUUAAUUCCUAUAUAUAUUACAAUUACAUAAUAUCACAUAGUGGGAAACUAAAACAUUUAUACUAGUCUUCUCAAAAUCAGCUUGAUGAAAAAUACUCAAGACUGCCAUAGUAAAUGCUUCAAGAGGAAAAUAAACCUUGUUGAGGAAAACAACCAAAGCUUGUAACAUAGCCCAGCAAGUAAAGGCACACACAGGCAUGCACACAAGAGAAAUUAAAUAAAAGAAUAAAUGGCUAAUAAAAGGCAAGGGAAGGUCAUGGGUUAGAAGAAGACUUAAAAUUAAGACAUCAGUUCUACUAGACUCAGUUCAUUUCACAAAUAUCCCACAAGCCCUACAGAUUUGGGGGUCAAACAAACACAGGCCAAUUUUAAAACUUUGGGAAACAUAAAGAUCUAGAUUACCCUAAGAAUGUUAAAGAUCAGAAUUGAAGUGUUCUUAAUCCAUGUAUUGAGGCUUUACAAAAAACUAUGAUGGUGUGAUGAUGUAAAGAGACUCAGGCACUAAGAAGGGUGGUGGUUGUUUUAUAAGCUGCCGAUGCUGUCUAAGGAGGGAAAGGAUCACCUACAACACGUGCUAUAACUCUGGGCUGAAGAGAUGGCUCAGCAAUUAAGGGUCUUCCAGAGGCCCUACGUACCCAUAUAAUAGCUCACAACUGUCUGUAACUCUAAUUUUUUUGGAUCUAACAUCUGUGUCUUUCACCAGCACUGCAUACAUGGGUAUAUAGACAUAUAUGCAGGCAAAACACCUAUACACAUAAAAUAAUCUUAAAAAACAAAUUGACUUUUACUUCAAGCAAUAUAACAACCUAACUUAUGAUAUACAAUUAAUUAACCAAAUGU